rnacentral:rRNA from 1 species
GAUGAACGCUGGCGGCGUGCCUAAUACAUGCAAGUCGAGCGAACAGACGAGGAGCUUGCUCCUCUGACGUUAGCGGCGGACGGGUGAGUAACACGUGGAUAACCUACCUAUAAGACUGGGAUAACUUCGGGAAACCGGAGCUAAUACCGGAUAAUAUAUUGAACCGCAUUGUUCAAUAGUGAAAGACGGUUUUGCUGUCACUUAUAGAUGGAUCCGCGCCGCAUUAGCUAGUUGGUAAGGUAACGGCUUACCAAGGCAACGAUGCGUAGCCGACCUGAGAGGGUGAUCGGCCACACUGGAACUGAGACACGGUCCAGACUACUACGGGAGGCAGCAGUAGGGAAUCUUCCGCAAUGGGCGAAAGCCUGACGGAGCAACGCCGCGUGAGUGAUGAAGGUCUUCGGAUCGUAAAACUCUGUUAUUAGGGAAGAACAAAUGUGUAAGUAACUAUGCACGUCUUGACGGUACCUAAUCAGAAAGCCACGGCUAACUACGUG